rnacentral:lncRNA from 1 species
UUAAGGUGGUAUGGGAGUCUAAAAUAAAAAUGAUAGAAUUUGUUCAUACUUUGCCAAAACGUUGUAUCUGUUGAUACAUGUUGAAAAAUAUAAUAAAAAUGAUAGGUCACCGCGCAUUUUCUCAAGCUACAGGACGGGAGAAAAUGACACAUUUUGUAUGGAUUAUACAGGAAAAAACACCAUUUUGUGAUUAGAAACUAAACAAAAUGAUAGAAUUGUUAAAUACUUCAGGAAAAGAUAGCUUUCAGACACUGCUUUGAGAAUAUCAAAAGAAAAGAUAGGGUCACCGUACGCU